rnacentral:rRNA from 1 species
UACGAAGGGUGCUAGCGUUGUUCGGAAUCAUUGGGCGUAAAGCGCGUGUAGGCGGUUAAUUAAGUCAGUUGUGAAAUCCCUCGGCUCAACCAAGGAAGUGCAUCUGAAACUAAUUAGCUAGAAGAUGGUAGAGGAAGGUGGAAUUCCAAGUGUAGAGGUGAAAUUCGUAGAGAUCGGCAGGAACACCCAGGGGGAAACCAGUGGACUGGCACGGUGCUGACGCUCAGGUGCGAAAGCGUGGGGAGCGAACCGG